AUGAACGCUGGCGGCGUGCCUAAUACAUGCAAGUCGAACGGGAACCUUUUGGAUUCGUCUGGAAGGGGAUAGUGGCGAACUGGUGAGUAACACGUAGGUGACCUGCCCCGAAGACGGGGAUAACCAUCGGAAACGGUGGCUAAUACCCGAUGUACUCAAUGAUUCAUUUCAUUGAGUAAAGGCUCCGGUGCUUCGGGAUGGGCCUGCGGCCUAUCAGCUAGUUGGUGAGGUAAUGGCUCACCAAGGCGAAGACGGGUAGGGGGCGUGAGAGCGCGGUCCCCCACACUGGCACUGAGAUACGGGCCAGACUCCUACGGGAGGCAGCAGUCGGGAAUAUUGCACAAUGGACGAAAGUCUGAUGCAGCGACGCCGCGUGGGCGAUGAAGGCCUUCGGGUUGUAAAGCCCUUUUAUGGGGGAAGAGACAGGACGGUACCCCAAGAAUAAGCGUCGGCUAACUACGUGCCAGCAGCCGCGGUAAAACGUAGGACGCAAGCGUUAUCCGGAUUUACUGGGCGUAAAGAGCGUUGAGGUGGUUUCGUAAGUUGGACAUGAAAGCCCUGGGCUUAACUCAGGGAAGCUGUUCAAUACUGCGAGGCUUGAGGGCAACAGAGGAAAGCGGAAUUCCCGGUGGAGCGGUGAAAUGCGUAGAUAUCGGGAGGAACACCAGUGGCGAAGGCAGGCU
rnacentral:rRNA from 1 species